rnacentral:rRNA from 1 species
GUUGUAUGGUUAAGUGACUAAGCGUACACGGUGGAUGCCUGGGCAGUCAGAGGCGAUGAAGGACGUACUAACUUGCGAUAAGCGCAGAUAAGGCAGUAAGAGCCGUUUGAGUCUGCGAUUUCCGAAUGGGGAAACCCAACUGCAUAAGCAGUUACUGUUAACUGAAUACAUAGGUUAACAGA